rnacentral:rRNA from 1 species
GCGUGUGUGAAGAAGGCCUGCGGGUAGUAAAGCACUUUUAUCGGGAAAGAAAUCCUUAGGGUUAAUACCCCUGAGGCUUGACGGUACCCGAGGAAUAAGCACCGGCUAACUCAGUGCCAGCAGCCGCGGUAAUACUGAGGGUGCAAGCGUUAAUCGGAAUUACUGGGCGUAAAGCGAGUGUAGGCGGCUUCGUAAGUCGGAUGUGAAAGCCCUGGGCUUAACCUGGGAAUGCCAUUCGAUACUGCGCGGCUAGAGUCUGAUAGAGGGAAGUGGAAUUCCAGGUGUAGCGGUGAAAUGCGU